rnacentral:rRNA from 1 species
GUAAAGCACUUUCAGUGGGGAGGAGGUCGUAUAGGUUAAGAGCUAGUAUGAUGGACGUUACCCACAGAAGAAGCACCGGCUAACUCCGUGCCAGCAGCCGCGGUAAUACGGAGGGUGCGAGCGUUAAUCGGAAUUACUGGGCGUAAAGGGUGCGUAGGUGGUUAAUUAAGUUAGAUGUAAAAACCCUGGGCUUAACCUGGGACUGAGAUUUAAUACUGAUUAACUGGAGUAUUGGAGAGGGUAGUGGAAUUUCCGGUGUAGCGGUGAAAUGCGUAGAGAUCGGAAGGAACACCAGUGGCGAAGGCGGCUACCUGGCCAGAUACUGACACUGAAGCACGAAAGCGUGGGGAGCAAACAGGAUUAGAUACCCUGGUAGUCCACGCUGUAAACGAUGUCAACUAGCCGUUGGUCAUAUUAAGAUGAUAAGUGGCGCAGCAAACGCGAUAAGUUGACC